AAGGUGGAUGUUGAGAAAACCAUGGACCUGAUGCUAGCAUAACACAACAGCAUUACACACACUAGCCAGUCAACAAGGAUUAUUACUGCAGCAGUACAUAGCAUGAGCUAUGUUUUAGCUCAUGUCGUGAAUGGCCUUUAAAAUAAUCCAGGUCAAAUCUCCAUAAAUGGCUAUGUCGAAAUUUUCUCAUGACCUUAUAUGGCCAGACAAGAGUAUGGAUGUGAAGCAUUAGGUGUCAGGGUUCCUGUGUGUGUGUGUGUGUUGAGUGUGAGUGAAGCAUCUUUUCCAGCGAAGAUCUUGGUGAGGAACCUGGGCAGCCUACACAGGUGGGUCCCAUCAGCCCCAUCAGUGGUGGGGAUAAAGGAGCAGCAGAACCUUCACUCAGUGCUGGAUGAUUAACGUGCACCGAUCAGUUUCUGGAUUCACCUACGGGAUCUGUUCCAUUGUUGUCUCCUCUCGUGUGGAUCACCCGCAAGUCUGCCUGCCCGCUGCUCCCUCCGCACCACUCAAUCGCUCCUGGAAGGAUCUAGGAGAACUACCUUUCUGUUAUUACAAGGAAAUAAAACCCUUACCUUUA